CUCUAGAACUUUUCACUAGUGGGGAGCAACAAAACAUAUUAGAACUAACAAACUUACAAUGGACAUUUAAUAGUGGUUUUCCUUUCUAUUCUAUUUUUUAAAAUGUAAAUGGAGUAAAUGAUAAAAUGUAGACUGAAUUUAUCAUAAAGACAUUUUCUUUUGGUAUACUGCAAGGAACUAUGAACUUUUAGUAACUACUAUAAGCAACUGACAGGAAAAAAUGGCAACAGAAGAAGGAAAGAGGAGAGAAUGGGGAGCAGACACUAAGGUGUAGUGAAAGGAGGAAAAUGAAGGCUAAGUCUAAUGAUGUGAAUCCUCUUUGCAAUUCCAUCAAAGGAGGGAUCUUCCUACUGACCAGAAGACCUGAACAGCCUGAGAAUGAUUCCUUUCAACUCCGAGAGAAGAAGCUGCAGAUGAAGAGCAAUCCUGGGAUACAUGUGCAGAAUGUGCAGAAUGUGUACAUAGGUACACACUACCAUGGUGGUUUGCUGCACCCAUCAACUCGUCAUCUACAUUAGGAUACUGUUUACUGAAAACCCACCAAUCUGAUCUUUUAUGAGAAGCUAGUCCCUGAAAAGGCCCUUGGAUCAAAGAUCCUAACACAAUUGUGUGCUGUGAAAUUAGCCCUGAAAAUCCACCAACCUAAAGGAA
rnacentral:lncRNA from 1 species